UUCUAUAUGCUGCCAAGAGGACCGGGCGUCUCUUCGGAGACAUCCGAUAAAAUUGGAACGAUACAGAGAAGAUUAGCAUGGCCCCUGCGCAAGGAUGACACGCAUAAAUCGAGAAAUGGUCCAAAUUUUUUUUUUGAUCUUCGCAAGAGCUGUUUAAUCUCUUAUUUUUUAACCUCUUUUUCUUUCAAUCCAUCGUUCUAGGGUUUUCUUCUUCGAUUUGGGGUAGUUUUAUCUUCUCUUUUGCAAAACCCUCAGCGAUUUCCAGGAGUUCUCUUAGGGCUCGGUUGGGGUUUUCUUCUUCGAUUCAGGGUAGUUUUCCUUCUCUUUUGCACCAAAUCGCACCUGAUCCAUCGUUCGAGGGUUUGCUUCUUCGAUUUGGGGUUGUUUUUCUUCUCUUCUGCAAAACCCUCAGCGAUUUCCAGGAGUUCUCUCAAGACUCGUUUGGGAUGAUGUAACAACUCUGUUGUAUUUAUGAGUUUGAUGUGGUUUAUUGCUUGCUUGGUUCGUCUGCCUUUAGUGCUUGAUGCAGAUGAAUUUUGUACUCCCUUGUCUUGGACAAACAGUGGGUGGAAUUGUUUUAGGUGGUCUCUUGAGGUUUCUGAGAACAGUGGUAUGUCGUGUAUUGCGGGCCUUAUUACUUAAAUUGAGAUUUUACUAUCUACCUAUGAAAUUCUAGACCAUUACAAAAAAAAGUUAGCAUAUCUAUUUGCUGCUCAACAUGUUAACGUCAUAAGUUUCAGUAGAUGUUUGCCCAUCAAUCUUGAUAUCAAACUCUGCAUUGUAUACUCUUGUAUGCUUGGAAUUUGUGAUUUCCAACCUUGGAGUCAUGCCCUCCAAAUAUGAACUUUAUAAUGUGUUUGCUCCUUAUGGUUCAUCAAUAGUACUAUUUCUUGCUAUAAGUGACCUAAUAAGCCUCUUUCUUGGUAUGGUACUAGUAGCAAUAAUGUUAUGGGAUGAUGUUAUAUUUGUGGCAUCUAUCACAGUGGUUUCCCCAAACAUUUGGGUAUAUUGUCAUGAUUAGUUCUCAUUUGAUAUUUUGUCUUAUUAAGCAAUUUAUUCCAAGGUUUGUCGUCUCAGUGUCAGACCCCAUACCGGUGCCACAUUAGCACUGUAUUGGUAUGGUAUGGUAGUAUGGUACGAAGUUGGUACGCCUUCCGUACCAUAUACCGAUACCAAAUGGGUACUGUACGGUAUGUCCCAUACUGUCCGGUUCGAGCCAGUACGGCGAUAAAUUCCGAUCACUUUCUUCCAAGAUUAUUAUUUUUUUUUAAUAUAUUUUGAUGCUGUAUUUGACAUGUAUCAUUUGUUGUAUGUGCACCUUGCAGCUAUUUUAAUUUUUUUCCCCUUCAUUAGUUAGCGGAUGCCACAGAUAUGAAUGAAUAUGAAAUGAGAAUUGUAUGGUUGACGUGGGCAACAUUCGUGAUGCAACAUGGACAAAUGAUGAUGAAAAAAAAUAUAUUGUACUCAUGGAAGAAGAGGUCAUCAAGGGGAAUAGGCCCAAAAGAAGCCUGCAUGGCAUCAUAUCUGAGAAGCACUUAAUGCACAAACCUGGAAGAACUGUGAUAACACACAAUUAAGAAAUAAGUUCAACUGAUUAAGGACUUGACAGAAGGAAUUUGCUAAUUUGAUAAAUGAGAAGGGACUUAGUUGGAACUCAAGUGACGAGGUCUGGCAACGCUUAUACGAGGGACAAGGUAACUGGCUCCCAUGAGCAUCCUUCAGGGAGUCCUCCAGAAACUGAUACUGAAGAAUAGGGUGCAGAGCUGAAUGUGGAGACUUCUUUUAAUGAGCAUCUUGAUGGCGACUUAAUUAAUGCUUUGUAUGCCUUCUCAUGCAAGCACUAAAUGCACUUAAAGGCUUAGAUGGAGCAGCUUAUGUUAAGGAAGUUGGGAAGUUCCAUGAUGAUCUUUAAGGCAUGUUGGAGUGGCAAGGGGAUUGCAAGUGUGACAAAAAUGAUACUGGAUCUAUGCCAAGAUUUUUUGGUACGUAAGGAAAAAUGAUACUGGAUAUAAUCUCCAACUUGUACGUUAUGCAUAGGUAGCAAAAGGGGGCGGUGAUGUGAUGAUACUGGAUAACAAAUUAUACCACUAUAAAUGUAGCCAAAUGGGGUCGUGGGGUUUACAUUAACAUCCAGAAUGCUGUAAAUUUCCACUUGACAGUUAAUGUGGUUGCUCUGAUGGUUCAUUUUAUUUCUGCAUGCAUCGCAGGAGUGCUCCUCUGACUGAUACCCACUUGCUUUGGGUCAACAUGAUUAUGGAUAUUCUCAGUGCUUUCGCAUUAGCAGCAGAGUCUCCAAUGAUGAACAAGAAAAGACCACCUGGUGGGGAGAGAACUUCAUCACCAGGGUCAUGUUGAGAAAUAUCAAUGGCCAGAGUAUAUUUCAAUUGAUUGUACUUGGACUUCUCAUGUUUGAUGGGAAACGGCUUUUGAAAGUUAGUGUUCCAGAUGCUGAUUCACUUCUCAAUACAUUCAUGUUCUACACAUUUGUGUUUUGCCAGGGCUGCCAGGACAUCAAUUGUCAACCUUUGCCAAAACCAAACCAGCUUCAAGUCAAGAUUUCGUUAGUUGUCAGUCCAAGAAUAACUGAAAGUUUUAGCAAUCAGAUUUUGUGCAGUGAUAGCACACCUUGAACCUCUGGUUGGAAUAUGAACUUAUUUUAUUUGUGGAUUUAUGGCACAUCACAGCAUAUCCUUGUUCAGGAUCUGGAAUUUAUUAUAUAAAGUUCAAUUUUGGGAUGGUCGUCUGAUACA